rnacentral:rRNA from 1 species
GACCUCAAACCAGGAUAAGAAUACCCGCUGAAACUUAAGCAUAUCAAUAAGCGGAGGA